UCUUAAUCCUCUUGUCAAAAUCGAGCUGAACGUGGCCAAUCCAGGGAGAAAACCUCUAAAUUAUCCUGAAUGAGGCAGCUGGGUAAAGGGGAGACACGGCACCAGUGUCCUCUGCAGAGGGCACAACCUCGUAUUAGACACUAGAGAAGCCAAGCAGAAGGCAGUGAGCCCCCGGGGAGGAGGCAAUCCCAACUGAUGGUACUUUGCAGUUUGGUCAAAUCCUGCUGUAAGUGCUCUCCAAAGGGCCAAAUCCUGCAAAAUCCUCUGCUGUUGGCCGAGCAGCAUCCCCACGGAUCCAGGACCCGGUGAUUCUGGGUGGAGAAAAGCCCAGAAAAGGAAAACGACUCGCUGCAGGCAAGGAGGGAGCGGGCUUUGGAAGGGCGUUCGGUGGCAAAGGCGGCGUCUGAAGGAGCACCCAACCAUCCAAGUGAAACCAAGCAAAGACCUCACUCCGUGCCUGCACCCACUUUGCACCAACCUCUCCACGAGCUCCACCGGGCGAUUCUUUGCCAGAAUUACAUGGGGAUGCCAAAGGGGAAGAGAAAAAAAAUCGAGGAAAACGUGUGGGGAGAACACGUUUCUCCUUGUGCUCCAUCCCGAGUGGAGCCAGGCACAGCGGGCGGCUGUAGCCUGUUGCGGCUUGUUCCCUGUAUGCGGAGUUUACGGAUGCGUCGGUGAGGUUCUGCCUCCCUUUGGGGCUCUGCGAGGCUCCAGAGGUUCUGCAGAGCAAUUACCCCCUUCCUCACUCCCGCGAGGAUUUCAGCAUUCCUGCCAAAACCAGCCCCAAAUUUCCCUGCCUGCCCCUAAGCGGGGUUGGAUCCUUCUUCCAUCUCCUUCCCGUUUCCAGGCGGGAUGGAGCCCCCUCGCGUAGGGCAGGCAGAGGAAGUCCCAUGGCUUUGUUUUUAGCAUGGAAACGAAGAAAAGCCUUUAAAAAAGGAGGAAACCCAACCUGCCAGGAGCCAAACGUGCACCCGAGAAGCGGCCGCGCAAUCACCCCCGUUGUUAACCUGUAAUUACUGCCCUGAUGAAAUGCAAACAGGUUUCACUCGAUGGAAAGUCCGUCUCGCCUUCCUCUAUCUCGGUUUAAUUGGCUCGAAUUUGCAUUAACACAAUUACCGGCCGCGUUUUGCCUCUGGAAAGGUUGGGAAAGUUAUGGAAAUGUCUGGAAUAAAGAAGGGA